UUAUGGGGCUCUGUGGGGCUCAGUGAGGUGGUUAUGGGGCUCUGUGGGAUCUAUGGGGUGAGCUGUGGGAUCUAUGGGGUACUGUGGGAUCUAUGGGGUGAGCUGUGGGAUCUAUGGGGUGAGCUAUGGGGCGCUGUGGGAUCUAUGGGGUGAGCUGUGGGAUCUAUGGGGCGCUGUGGGAUCUAUGGGGCGAGCUGUGGGGCGCUGUGGGAUCUAUGGGGCGAGCUAUGGGAUCUAUGGGGCGCUGUGGGAUCUAUGGGGUGAGCUGUGCGAUCUAUGGGGUGAGCUAUGGGGCGCUGUGGGAUCUAUGGGGCGAGCUAUGGGAUCUAUGGGGUGAGCUAUGGGGCGCUGUGGGAUCUAUGGGGUGAGCUGUGGGAUCUAUGGGGUGAGCUGUGGGAUCUAUGGGGCGAGCUGUGGGGCGCUGUGGGUCCCACCUGCCCCCCCAUGACAGCCAUGACGCCGUGGACGCUGAAUUCGGGCUGGGGCUCCUCCAGGCGCCGCGACACCAACUCCUGUGGGGCACGAGCGGACCCACACGUGUGGGGCUGACCCACACUUAUGGGGCUGAGACGCAUCUAUGGGGCUGACACACACUUAUGGGGCUGAGGCGCACCUAUGGGGCUGACCCACACUUAUGGGGCUGAGACACGCCUAUGGGGCUGACACACAUCUAUGGGGCUGACCCACAUCUGUGGGGCUGACCCCCAUCUGUGGGGCUGACCCACAUCUAUGGGGCUGACCCACAUCUAUAGGGCUGACCCACAUCUAUGGGGUCCUAUUAGGUCCAUUUCUCCCCAUUUUGGGGCAAUUUCUCCCCAUUUUGCCCCCAUUUCCCCCCAUUUUUCCCCCCUUUCCCCCCACUCACGCAGAGCUCAGCCUUCAUCAGCGCCGUCACCUUCAGCUGCAUCAUGGCGCCGGGCCCCGAGCUGGCGGCCAGCCCCACACCGCCCAGGGCUGCCCCACGGUUCUCCUCGAACCACGGCUCCCUGCCCCACGGCGACCCAUAGCGACCCACAGCCCACCCGUAGGGACCCAUAGAGACCCAUAGUGACCCAUAACAACCCAUAGAGACCCAUAGCGACCCAUAACAACCCAUAGAGACCCAUAGCGACCCACAUCCCACCCAUAGGGACCCAUAGAGACCCACAGAGACCCAUAGAGACCCAUAGUGACCCACGUCCCACCCAUAGGGACCCAUAGAGACCCACGUCGGACCCAUAGAGACCCAUAGCGACCCACAUCCCACCCAUAGGGACCCACAGAGACCCAUAGUGACCCAUAACAACCCAUAGAGACCCAUAGUGACCCACAUCCCACCCAUAGAGACCCAUAGAGACCCAUAGUGACCCAUAACAACCCAUAGCGACCCACAUCCCACCCAUAGGGACCCAUAGAGACCCACAGAGACCCAUAGCGACCCACAUCCAACCCAUAAGGACCCACAACUACGGCUCCCUGCCCCAUAGCGACCCAUAGAGACCCAUAGUGACCCACAUCCCACCAAUGGGGACCCAUAGAGACCCAUAGAGACCCACGUCUGACCCAUAGAGACCCACAUCCGACCCAUACGGACCCACAACUACGGCUCCCUGCCCCAUAGUGACACAUAGAGACCCAUAGUGACCCACAUCCCACCAAUAGGGACCCAUAGAGACCCACGUCUGACCCAUAGAGACCCAUAGAGACUCAUAGCGACCCACAUCCGACCCAUAAAGACCCACAACCACGGCUCCCUGCCCCAUAGCGACCCACAUCCCACCCAUAGGGACCCAUAGAGACCCACAGAGACCCAUAGAGACCCAUAAGGACCCACAACCACAGCUUCCUGCCCCACAGCGACCCAUAGUGGCCCACAUCCCACCCAUAGGGACCCAUAGAGACCCACAUUGGACCCAUGGAGACCCACAGAGACCCAUAGAGACCCAUAGCGACCCGCAUCCCACCCAUUAAGGACCCACAACCACGGCUCCCUGCCCCACAGCGACCUAUAGCGACCCACAUCCCACCCAUAGAGACCCAUAGUGAGCCAUAACAACCC
ensembl:lncRNA